CAGACGAUGGCGUACUUUAGUCGGUAUAUGUACAUGUAUCCCGUGGCUGAAAUACGUCUGCAGAAAAUCCAAUCAGAUGCAGUUGUCUUACCUGUAUCUAGCCGUAACGAGCCUGGCUAUCUUGUUUGAUUUAAACACACACAUACACACUGAUAUAUGUAACAUUUUGACAAUAUUCAUAAUAUAACAGGACGUACAGAUAUCUUGUAACAUUUUGACUAUUUUCGAAAUCAAAUGGACGUAAAUAUCGUACAGAGACACAUAUGUAUCAUGGACCAUUUUGAUAAUUUCCUGAAUAGAAACAGACAUGUGUAUCGUUAGCAUCUUUAUAGGUUUGUGAAACAUAAAGAAAACGGGAUGUACUUGUAUUGUCCAUGUUGGUAACUUUCUCUUUAUAACGGGACGUAUAUAUACAAUAGUGGGUCACAUUCUAAUAAUUCAUUAAACAGAACAAGACGAACAUAUCGUACGACUAUUUUUAUGGAGGCGUUUUUACGCCUGCCAUAUUGCGAUCACCUACGAGUUGUGACAUCACAAUCUCUCACUUUCGUAUUCGUUAUAUUUCCUUUUACAGUUCAUUUUGCGGUUUCUUUCGGUUCAUAUAUGAUGUAGUUGUAGUACAGAGGACGUAAAACCUGUUAAAUAGAUAAUAUGUUGAUGGAGUGGAAGCAGUCACAAUGUAAUUUCGGUCAGAUGAAUAACUUGCACAUAAAUACAUUGUUGUUUGAUAUUGACUGCGCAUGUGUCAUUUAAAACAAUGACUUGAUAGCUUUGUCAAAAACUGAAAUACACGUAAAUUCCAAAUCUAAAAAUAAUAGGAACAAG